AGUGAACGCUGGCGGUAGGCCUAACACAUGCAAGUCGAACGGCAGCACAGUAAGAGCUUGCUCCUACGGGUGGCGAGUGGCGGACGGUUGAGGAAUACAUCGGAAUCUACUUUGUCGCGGGGGAUAACGUAGGGAAACUUACGCUAAUACCGCAUACGAAUUACGGGUGAAAGCAGCGGUUCUACGGACCUUUCGCGACCAUAUGAGCGGAUGUCGGAUUAGCUAGGUGGCGGGGUAAAGUCCCACAAAGGCGACGAUCCGUAGCAGGUCUGAGAGGAUGAGCAGCCGCACUGGGAGGGAGACACGGUCCAGACUGAUACGGGAGGCAGCAGUGCGGAUUAUUGGGCAAAGAGUGCAAACCUGUUCCAGCCGUACCGAGUGUGUGAAGAAGGACUUCGGGGUGUAAAGCCCUGUUAUUAGGAAUGAAAAGCGGCGGGUGAAUAGACGAAUGUUCUGACGGCACCAAAAGAAUAAGCCCCGGCUAACUACGUG
rnacentral:rRNA from 1 species